rnacentral:rRNA from 1 species
GUGUCAGCAGCCGCGGUAAUACGGAGGGUGCAAGCGUUAUCCGGAUUUACUGGGUUUAAAGGGUGCGCAGGCGGAUAUGUAAGUCAGUGGUGAAAUCUUCCCGCUUAACGGGAAAACUGCCGUUGAUACUAUAUAUCUUGAAUGCUGUGGAGGUGAGCAGAAUAUGUCAUGUAGCGGUGAAAUGCUUAGAUAUGACAUAGAAUACCUAUUGCGAAGGCAGCUCACUACGCAGAUAUUGACGCUCAUGCACGAAAGCGUGGGGAUCAAACAGGAUUAGAAACCCCCGUAGUCC